CAUAGGUUAAUGAGGCGAACCGGGGGAACUGAAACAUCUAAGUACCCCGAGGAAAAGAAAUCAACCGAGAUUCCCCCAGUAGCGGCGAGCGAACGGGGAGCAGCCCAGAGCCUGAAUCAGUGUGUGUGUUAGUGGAAGCGUCUGGAAAGGCGCGCGAUACAGGGUGACAGCCCCGUACACAAAAAUGCACAUACUGUGAGCUCGAUGAGUAGGGCGGGACACGUGGUAUCCUGUCUGAAUAUGGGGGGACCAUCCUCCAAGGCUAAAUACUCCUGACUGACCGAUAGUGAACCAGUACCGUGAGGGAAAGGCGAAAAGAACCCCGGCGAGGGGAGUGAAAAAGAACCUGAAACCGUGUACGUACAAGCAGUGGGAGCACGCUUAGGCGUGUGACUGCGUACCUUUUGUAUAAUGGGUCAGCGACUUAUAUUCUGUAGCAAGGUUAACCGAAUAGGGGAGCCGAAGGGAAACCGAGUCUUAACUGGGCGUUAAGUUGCAGGGUAUAGACCCGAAACCCGGUGAUCUAGCCAUGGGCAGGUUGAAGGUUGGGUAACACUAACUGGAGGACCGAACCGACUAAUGUUGAAAAAUUAGCGGAUGACUUGUGGCUGGGGGUGAAAGGCCAAUCAAACCGGGAGAUAGCUGGUUCUCCCCGAAAGCUAUUUAGGUAGCGCCUCGUGAAUUCAUCUCCGGGGGUAGAGCACUGUUUCGGCAAGGGGGUCAUCCCGACUUACCAACCCGAUGCAAACUGCGAAUACCGGAGAAUGUUAUCACGGGAGACACACGGCGGGUGCUAACGUCCGUCGUGAAGAGGGAAACAACCCAGACCGCCAGCUAAGGUCCCAAAGUCAUGGUUAAGUGGGAAACGAUGUGGGAAGGCCCAGACAGCCAGGAUGUUGGCUUAGAAGCAGCCAUCAUUUAAAGAAAGCGUAAUAGCUCACUGGUCGAGUCGGCCUGCGCGGAAGAUGUAACGGGGCUAAACCAUGCACCGAAGCUGCGGCAGCGACGCUGAUGCGUUGUUGGGUAGGGGAGCGUUCUGUAAGCCUGUGAAGGUGUGCUGUGAGGCAUGCUG
rnacentral:rRNA from 1 species